rnacentral:rRNA from 1 species
CCCUAGUCCCUUCCUACCCAAACCAAACAACCUAAAUUCCCAUGUAACGGACUAGGAGCUAAUUAAAGGAGGUACAGCUCCUUCAACAAAGAACACAACCUCCACUAGCGGAUAAGACCCCCCCCCACACCAUCCGUAGGCCCUAAAGCAGCCACCACCAAAGAAUGCGUCAAAGCUCCCAAACCAAAAAAAUCCAAAAACAACACGAAUCCCUAUACCCCUAACAGGCCAAUCUAUAACAAUAGAUGAACAAAUGCUAGAACGAGUAACCAGGAUAUCACAUCCCCUUAAGCGCUAGCCCGCAUACCACUAACAGCACAACCACAAUGCCACCCUCAAGACCAAACAUUGCACACACCCUGUCAACCCAACCCAGGAGCGCACACUAGGACGAUUAAACUCUGCAGAAGGAACUCGGCAAGCCCAGGGCCCGACUGUUUACCAAAAACAUAGCCUUCAGCCAAACAAGUAUUGAAGGUGAUGCCUGCCCAGUGACAUUACGUUCAACGGCCGCGGUAUCCUAACCGUGCAAAGGUAGCGCAAUCAAUUGUCCCAUAAAUCGAGACUUGUAUGAACGGCCAAACGAGGCCCUAACUGUCUCCUGCAGACAAUCAGUGAAACUGAUCUCCCUGUACAAAAGCAGGGAUAAACACAUAAGACAAGAAGACCCUGUGGAACUUAAAAAUCAAUAGCCACUACACACUCACCCCAAAACCCACCAGGCUUACCACUUAAAAUGUUGGCUAACAUUUUUAGGUUGGGGCGACCAUGGAGAAAAACAAAUCCUCCAAAAACAAGGCCAAACCCCUUAACCAAGAGCAACCCCUCAACGUACUAACAGUACCCAGACCCAAUAAAAUUGACCAAUGGACCAAGCUACCCCAGGGAUAACAGCGCAAUCUCCCCCAAGAGCCCAUAUCGACGAGGAGGUUUACGACCUCGAUGUUGGAUCAGGACAUCCUAGUGGUGCAACCGCUACUAAGGGUUCGUUUGUUCAACGAUUAACAGUCCUACGUGAUCUG